CACUGGAGUGGGUUGCCAUUUCCUUCUCCAAGAAAGGCAGCAGUCCCUCCCAAAGUCUAUUAAAUGUUCCUUUUAUAGACAUCACACUGGGACUCAAGCAACUGAGUCCAGAGCAAUAGAUUUAUCUCUUACAAAUGCUUCAAAUAAAUAUAUUGCAUGCAUGCUCUGUUGUUAGGUCAUGUCCAGCUCUUUUGUGAUCCCGUUGACUGUAGUCCGCCAGGCUGCUCUGUCCAUGGGAUUUCUCAGGCAAGAAUACCUGGGAAUGGGUUACCAUUUCUUUCUCCAAGGGAUCUUACUGACCCAGGAAUCAAACCCACAUCUUCUGCAUUGGCAGAUAUGCAGCUGCCGCUGAAUGGUGAUAUGUUAAUAAGGUACUCACUUGCCUAUUCUUCAGGUACUCUGGCAUUCUCUACCUAGGUAAUCUCCAUAUAGGAAAAGCUAUUAGGGGGUUGUAUCUGCUACCACACCUUCAAUUAUAUUAACACCUGCACUGAUAAUCCAGUAAGGUAAGCUAGUAGGGGGCCUAUGGCCUUAGUCCACCCCUUUUCUCCCUACAAAGUUACAUCUGAAGGGUGGAAAAAAAGGAAGGAGUAGAAGGGAAAAAAAAAAGGAAAGUCACUUUUAUUACACAUCAGUGGGAACCUUCUGAAAAAGCUUUCAUUCCUAGGAAAUUGUUAUUUCUUCAAACAGCUGACAGCCUGCAGAGGAAACUCUUAAUGGAAACCCAGCUCCUGCAUUGUUAUGCAGGGCCCUCAUGUAGAUUAAGGGGGGUGGAUUAAGUUAGCUUCCAAAGGGUCUAUUGUGUGUAGCAUUAAUUUGCAGGGCUCUUGAUAUUUGAGUUUGAAGGUUUAUAACCUCAGUGUUUACUUAGAUGAACUACAUCCUAGGUUUGUUUAUUUCCGUCUGCAGUCUCUUAUUUCCUAGUAAAUGUUACAUUUAUAUUUGUUAACAGCAAGAAUGUUGUUAUAAAUCCCAAAGAAAUAAUUACACAUGCUUAUUCAUUCAUUUUAAAGGUUCAAUCCUGGUCCUCCCAGGUCACUUUUCACAGUUAUGUUAUAGAAGAUUAUACAGAUAGAUUCAUUUCUCAAGAACAUUUAUGCCAUCCAGUUAAAUAGCAAAGUAAAGACUAUAUAGUUAGGAAUGAAAGCUUAAUUAUUCACUUUCUGUGAAAUUAACAUAACUGCCCCUUGUUUCUUUUGUAUAGCAAUAUUAUAAAUACAUAGCACCCCCAAAGCUGUGCCAUUUUCUUCCAAAUGAACAAAUUUACUAUAGAACUGAUCAUAAAUUUUUUUGUUACUCUUUGGAUGAUUACUUUGUAAAGAGU
ensembl:lncRNA